CCCGUGCACACACGUCCCAUGGCUUGCACGCAUGGCUCCUCCAGGGCAGGAUGCCAGCAGAGCUCCCAGAGCCAUUCCCAGUCACCAGCCAAGGGACAAGGCCUUCUCCUUGCUGAGGGCUGCUGAAUUCCCUGGAGCAUCUCUUUCUUCUGCUUCCUUGCCCAUAAUCGCGAAGCCUGGAUUACUCAAACAAAUUUGGGGCAGUCUUCUGACUUUAAAUAUUUCCUGGAAAGGCUUUGUGAAAAAUGAGCAGCCAAGCAGAUAUAAGUGGUGCAUGUGCAAAAGGAUACCUGUGCCAAAAAAGAAACAAAGUCUGAGUUCAAAACUUCUUGUUCAUGAAAUGUGAAGGAUCUUUAUUCUGGUCUCUGCAAAGGAAAUCCUUCUGGGUGCCUGGAGAAACUGGCUUCUGGAGCGAUGAAAGAAUAAAUCCAAUCUCCUCAGCUUCAUUCAUGAGGACUCAUGAGCUGAGCAAAGAAUCAGAAAGGCAUCUUUCCAAAUGAGACAGGUCCUAGUUAUGUAAAGUGCUCUGCCUCUUUCUGCCCCUCUACAAACCCUUCCCUGCUUUCUGAAGGUUGGAGAGCCCCCAUGGGAGAGGGGUCCAGCAUGAUGCAGUGGGGGAUGCUGUCUGCUGUACCCCAGUGUUUGCUCUCCUCUUCCUUAUUCUCUGCUGUUUGCAAAGUAGGGCUGAGUUGGCUUCUCUGAUAAAGGAUCCUUCACAGACACAAAGAGAGAAACAACUCCAGGUCACUUUGCAAGUUACUGGGAACAAACCAUAGCUGCCCCUGCACCUUGUGAGGGGUGUAAAGCAUGUCUGAUUGCUUAGCCUUCAGCAGGAGGCAGCUUAGGGUGAACCAUUCCUGCUGCUUUGCCACUAUUAAGAUCCAGCAGUACCUUGAUGUUUCCUCACUGGCAAUAAUUUGCAGGAUUAAAUACUUCAAGCCACUCUAAAAUUAGUUCCAGGAGGCAUUUUUUGCUUUCAUUUCAGAGCUCUCGUGAGCCUUUCCUACUCUGUAAAUCUGCUACACCUAAUUACCUGAUGGUUACUGUGCUCUAGAAGAUUUCAAAUAUCUGUCUUUUCCACUGCUCUAAAGACCCAGGUGGGGUUGCAGCACAGAACUUGUACCAGGAAUGUUUGCCAACAGCUGUAAUGAGUUCAGACAGCUUCAUGAGAUGGCCAAAUAAACCACUGCAAACAAAAUUGCCUUUGUCCACUGUGUCCAUUCAGGAUUCAAAGCAAACUUAUUUUUGAGCCUUUAAAAAACAUCUAAGAGAGCCAUUGAAAGUAAUUCUUUUAUGUCUUGAGCUCUUUCCAUCUCUCUAACCCACUGGAGAACUUCUAGAAUCACAGCACAUGUUUUCAGCUUCCAGUGCUGUGGUUUAAGAGUUUGCAAGGAAUACUUGGUAUUUUAUUUUGAGAACACCUGAAGUGCAUGAUGCUGCUGUUUGUCCUAUGCAGGCAUGUCACUAUCAGAGUCAGAGGUAGAAUAAUUUUUGGAGAAGUGAGAAAUCUUAUCACAGCAACAAAAGAAAAAGCAUCACUGGACAAAAGCCCUCUGCACAAAUCCACUGGCCGCAGAAGAUACAGAUUUCUGCUUGGUGUUUCUGGCCACUCUUUUUGGCCCAUGCUGACUAAGGCCAUGCCAUGGUCCUUUCUAUUUUCUUCCCACCCUUCCCUGGCCCCCUUGAGAUUAUUCACUUUCUGAAUAUAUGCAUGUGUCAUGUACAAAAAUCUUACUCUCCUGACCACAGCAGAAAUCCAGAGGGGUUUGUUUCUUCACUUGUGAUUUCAAAGGAUGAUUUUUUCCACUUGGUACCAUGCCCAAAAGAAAUUAUCUUCCACUCUUACUUCUCCUAGUCAUUACACUAUUAGGAUUUUUUAAAACCUGUUUACUCAUUGCUUCUUGAGACACAGGCCCAGCUUCA